GCUGGGUGCUGUGGUGCACACCUGCAGUCCCAGCUAUUUGGAGGCUAAGACAAAAGGAUUGCUGAAGUCCGGGAGUUCUGGGCUGUUGCGCGCUAUGUUUGGCAUCAAUAUAGGACCUCCCAGGAGCAGGGGGCCACCAGGUUGCCUAAGAAGGGGUGAACUGGCCCAGGUUGGAAAAGGAGCAGGUCAAAACUCCUGUGGUGAUCAGAAGUGUGAUUGCUCGGCCGGGCGCGGUGGCUCACUCCUGUAAUCCCAGCACUUUG
rnacentral:lncRNA from 1 species